UGAGAAUCUGCCCUCAGGAGGGGGAUAACGGUUGGAAACGACCGCUAAUACCCCAUAUGCCCACGGGUGAAAUGAAUUUCGCCUGAGGAUGAGCUCGCGUCUGAUUAGCUAGUUGGUGAGGUAAUGGCUCACCAAGGCUUCGAUCAGUAGCUGGUCUGAGAGGAUGAUCAGCCACACUGGGACUGAGACACGGCCCAGACUCCUACGGGAGGCAGCAGUGGGGAAUUUUCCGCAAUGGGCGAAAGCCUGACGGAGCAACGCCGCGUGAGGGACGAAGGCCUCUGGGCUGUAAACCUCUUUUCUCAAGGAAGAAGAUAUGACGGUACUUGAGGAAUAAGCCACGGCUAAUUCCGUGCCAGCAGCCGCGGUAAUACGGGAGUGGCAAGCGUUAUCCGGAUUUAUUGGGCGUAAAGCGUCCGCAGGCGGCUUUUCAAGUCUGCUGUUAAAGCGUGGAGCUUAACUCCAUCAUGGCAGUGGAAACUGAAAGGCUUGAGUAUGGUAGGGGCAGAGGGAAUUCCCGGUGUAGCGAUGAAAUGCGUAGAUAUCGGGAAGAACACCAGUGGCGAAGGCGCUCUGCUGGGCCAUUACUGACGCUCAUGGACGAAAGCCAGGGGAGCGAAAGGGAUUAGAUACCCCUGUAGUCCUGGCCGUAAACGAUGAACACUAGGUGUCGGG
rnacentral:rRNA from 1 species